GUGCCAGCAGCCGCGGUAAUACAGAGGGUGCAAGCGUUAAUCGGAAUUACUGGGCGUAAAGCGUGCGUAGACGGUUAUGUAAGUCGGGUGUGAAAGCCCCGGGCUCAACCUGGGAAUGCCAUUCGAGACUGCAUAGCUAGGGUGCGGAAGAGGGAAGCGGAAUUUCCGGUGUAGCGGUGAAAUGCGUAGAUAUCAGGAGGAACACCGAUGGCGAAGGCAGGUCUCUGGGCUGACACUGACGCUCAUGCACGAAAGCGUGGGGAGCAAACAGGAUUAGAUACCCUGGUAGUCCACGCCCUAAACGAUGUCGACUGGUUGUUGGGGGUUUGACACUCUCAGUAACGAAGCUAACGCGUGAAGUCGACCGCCUGGGGAGUACGGCCGCAAGGUUAAAACUCAAAGGAAUUGACGG
rnacentral:rRNA from 1 species